CCUACGGGAGGCAGCAGUGGGGAAUAUUGCACAAUGGGCGAAAGCCUGAUGCAGCAACGCCGCGUGAGCGAUGAAGGCCUUCGGGUCUUAAAGCCCUGUCCUCAAGGAAGAUAAUUAAGGUACUUGAGGAUGAAGCCCCGGCUAACUACGUGCCACCAGCCGCGGUAAUUCGUAGGGGGCUAGGGUUAUCCGGAAUUACUGGGCGUAAAGGGGGCGUAGGUGGUUUAUUAAGUCAGAGGUGAAAGGCUACGGCUCAACCGUAGUAAGCCGUUGAAACUGGGGAACUUGAGUGGAGGAGAGGAGAGUGGAAUUCGUAGUGUAGCGGUGAAAUGCGUAGAUAUUAGGAGGAACACCAGUUGCGAAGGCAGCUUUCUGGACUGUAACUGACACUGAGGCACGAAAGCGUGGGGAGCAAACAGGAUUAGAUACCCGGGUAGUC
rnacentral:rRNA from 1 species